UCGUAUUAGCAGUUUUGAGGGUUAGAAAAAUAUAGUAAUAAAAAUAUUAGUGAUAGAAUUUAGAUUUCAAUAAGUUUUCAUUCAAAUUUGUUUAGAUAAUUUUGCCAUAAAAUUUUCUUGAAAAAUAAAGUUUGAUGUUGUACUUUAAAAUGUUGUAGCUUUUUUUAAAUAAUUAUUAAUUUGGUCACGGGCGGGCGCGUUUGACGGAAGUCGUCCGGACCGGACGCCGAGAUUGUGCCCCGCACCUUCCGGUCGGGAGCUCGCACUUUCAAAACCGUACUGCACAAGUGAUGGGAGGUCCGACGUCUGAAGUUAUAACAAGGUUUAGUCUUGUUAACGCAGAUAUCCGAACGCAUCAACCUCAAGGGUCACUCGGCGGUUGUAACCGAUACACUUAAGGGCGAUAAUCGUUUGCCGCGCGACCGCUCCGGGAACUGCUCCUUCCGCCCCUUAACAGCUAAGUGACAAAUCUUUUUUUGAUUGUGAGAACUAUGGUUAGGAAGCGUAGUUGGGAAGUCGCCGCCCGGGCCGAGUGCGGUAAUGAGAGGGCUUUGAGAGGGCAAGUGAUUUUUGUGUCCGGUGCUUCAUGUUAUAAUAUAUAUUGUGGUAUCAAAUUAUUUUAAUUAUUAUGAAAAUAAAACAAAAUACUACAUUUUGAAGAAAUACUCAGUAGUAUAUAAUUCAUCAUCCAUCACGAUCACCAGGAACCUUAGAAUCAUGAUCUCAUUCUUUUCUGAUCUCAAUAUCUCAAUACAGUAAAAAUACGAUUAAAUCGAAUACAAUAAAUUAUGGCGUAUGUUUUGCCCAAUAUUUAAUUAUUAGAGGUUGCAACUAAUAAUAAAAAAUGUAUCAUUAAUAAAAUAGUAUUAUUUUUAUUAAAUGCAGGUAUAUGUAAAAAAAGGAAGAAAUUAAGUCGUUUCAAAUUACUGUUCUAAAACUUAGAUUAAAAAAAAAAUACAUGACUAUAUCCAAUAUUAAGAUUAAGAUAACCAACCCAUUAAUGAAUUAUUCAUUGACUUACAAAAGUAUAUUUUUUUUACGUUAUGAUAGUGAACAAUAUUUUUUAAUUAACAAUGAAAGUUACAAUCCUUUUUAUACAUUUAACCCCUUCACUGGCCGGCGAUUCCUUGGAGUCUUUCUUUUGUGCUUGUGGCUAAGGACUAUUGUUUUAUCUCCGGUCACACGGUAUCUUAGCAAACAAGCCACGGGACGGCAGCCAUUGUUUUAAUGUUAUAUUGUUCAAAUACACCGUUCCCAUGGGAUAUUGGGGCGAUUAUGGUGUUGAGGGGUAGUUCCUGGAAUGUUUGCGAUCAUGUCUCCGUGCUGUGGUCAGAGGGACCAUUUCGUGCAUUUGUUACAUGCUGUACAGUUACUUAUUUGUUUUUAUAAAUGUCGAGAUAUCAGUUUAAAAUGACUUGGGAUGACAGUUCUUAUCUUACUUUAGUAAUGGUAAAUUAAAAAAAAAAUAUUACACUCUAGAUUCAUUUCAUUAAAAACUUAGUAGUUUUAGUAAUAAUUUUAAUAAACUGAAUCAUUUAAAGCUAAUUUUUAAACGAAAAUAAUUAUUAUAAAAAUAAACUAAACGAGAAAAAAAAAUACCGGCAGCAUAUAUUUUUUGUAUUAGUAUUAUAUGCUAAAACUCAUUUAACUCUUUUAAAUACUUAUGUAUCACAUGAAGGAAACAAUUUUUUGUCAGGGAGACCAUACUCGUAUAUUUAGAUAUUAUAAUUUUCAUUUAGUUUUGACAAUUUACUUUAAAAAUCAUAUAUUUCAUGAGCAUAAAACAUAAAAAUAACUGAAUUUUAUUUAUUUUAGAACUACAAUAAUUAAUUUUAUUUAUUAAUUGUCUUCGUGCAAAAAAAAUAUAAUAAUACUAUCUUAUUUUUUAAGACAAUAAAAAGAUUACGAUCAUUGCAUGCUUGUAAGUAAUUAGGGUGUAUACACAUCGCCAUAAUACGCGGUAUGUCCUGCGACGAAAAUUAUUACCGUUCAUUCCCUAACUGGGUUGGCAUUUUGACGUACGAGUAGACAGCUAGGAUAGACAUACAAACUGAUAGAUACGAUCUAAAAACUAUAGCUUUCUUUUAGUUUAAAAUAAAACAUAUCUGAAAAGAUAUAUGGAGUUAUUGUUGAUACUAAAGAAAAGUUUAAUUUUAUUUAUUUCGAACAGUUUUAUGACCCAUAUAAUAUUUAUUUACUUCUGAGACUAGCAUACAUAAAAAAAGGAUCUUAUAGUUAUAUUUAAAAUCAUUUAUAGAUAGCAUUGUAUCAAAUAAUAAAUAAAAAUAAAUAAUCAAGUAA